GCAAUAUGUAGGCCAGGCUGAAGACCUUGCCUGAAUCGCUGAGAGGAGGUGCAUGGCCGUCGCCAGUUCGUACUGUGAAGCAUCCUGUUAAGUCAGGCAACGAGCGAGACCCGUGCCCACUGUUACCAGCAUAUCCUCCGGGAUGAUGGGUACUCUGUGGGGACCGCUGAUGUUAAAUCAGAGGAAGGUGCGGGCUACGGUAGGUCAGUAUGCCCCGAAUUUCUCGGGCUACACGCGGGCUACAAUGAAUGGGACAAUGGGCCCCUACCCUGAAAAGGUUUGGUAAUCUCACAAACCCAUCCGUAGUUCGGAUUGAGGGCUGUAACUCGCCCUCAUGAAGCUGGAAUCCGUAGUAAUCGCGUUUCAAUAUAGCGCGGUGAAUACGUCCCUGCUCCUUGCACACACCGCCCGUCAAACCACCCGAGUGAGGUAUGGGUAAGGGCACGAACUCUGUGUCGUGUUCGAACCUGUGCUUUGCAAGGGGGGUUAAGUCGUAAAAAGGUAUCCAAGGGCGAAUUCCAGC
rnacentral:rRNA from 1 species